GGCUAUCUCAGCACGAGGAUGUCACAUAGUAUGUCCGUGUGCUUCCCCGUCAGAAAUUUGUUUCAGAUUGUCAUGUUCUGCGAUCACCGGAUGAGGAAUGUGCUCGAGCAGUCGGCCACUGCAGUUGGCUGCCAGCCUGCGGCAGACAGCACAGAUCACCACCCAUGUCCCACAGGACGUGAGCUCUGGUUUGGUCCAGGGGAGGGGGGCAAUUUGCCCAGCCCACCCGGCAGCAAGGUGGAGCUGGCAAAAUGUAAGCACAAUUUAUUGAGUCAUCUGCAAAGCUCCUUAAGAGGAGACAGACAGCUGGAAACAAGCACCCUUUUCCCUCUUCUUGCAUGGAUGGUGGGAUCUCCAGCACCCAUAUUGGGCCAUGAGGCUACUUUGAGAAUGGAAACUCCACAUUAUGCAAGACAGAGAAGAAAAAUCCCCAACAACAGAGUGGAGGAGUCAUGCUAGCCUUGGAUUUCCUAAUUCCAGGCUUACUUCCUUUAGAGGAAAAUCCUGUAUUAAGGGACUUUGCAGGCAGAGGGAGUAGCACAGGCAAAGCUACACAAGCUGGGAGGAGAGCCGUUUCCAAAGACGCGGAAGUCUCUUCUUGGAGCAAGGCCACCUGCUGUCAUCUCACUGAGAGUCUCACUGCUGUCAGGUGAGGUGUCCCUUCACAGGGAACCACUGAGGUAAGCGUCUGACUUAACCACUUCCCUGUUGCCAUUCUCUUCC